GAGACAAAGUCCUGUGUAGAGACAGGAAAGGAGGACAAAGGAAAGCGCAUCAUUGUUAAACCCAAAAAGUUUACUCACAACGUUGGGAAAAAAACACAGAAAAAAAAGAGAAGAAACAAGUUCAACAUUCGAAGACUUCCCUUCCUCCAGCACCCCAGACAGGACUAUCCACUCCACGGCCUAGUAGUUCAUAUCUAAGUCCACAGCCUAGCCCACAGCACCCCCCUCAACAAUACGCUUCACAACCUGCGGCUGAUGACGAUGACUCGCUUCCAUCUUCACCGGCGAGACAGUAUACAGACAAUGAUGAUUAUUCGAUUCCUUCUUCGAUCGAACCACCAUCGCCAAUCUACACUGGUGACGGUGACCGAAGAGAAACCAUGCCCAUCUGGGCAAAGAAUAUCAACGCGACAUUGGAGGUUCUGCUUAGAAAAAUGGAAACUAUGGAGCAGAACCAAAGAGAGGCUCUACGUUUGCUUCAUGCAAAACAACAUGGGGACCCUGGGGAAGCUACUGUGGAGUUAGAGCAAGCACAAACUCAGGCCGAACUUAAUCAACUCGAAGAGCACAUUAAAAAUAGGGAUUUCACAAAAAAAUGAUUUCCCAUCUGAGCCUGGUUGGUGGGUCCAAUCCUGGGGAGUGUGUGAGGAGGGUGUUGCGCUCUGUGGCCUCCAACUAUGUGUGGAGCAGCUACAGCCUUAGGGGGAAAAAGGGGAAGAUGCCACUGCUUGGCACAGCAGUGGGCAGUACCAUUAAACAGGCGAUCAUGAAAUGGAAGCCAGGGCUGGGAGAGAAGGACGUGGAGCUGCUGAUAGCAGAGGUCCUAAAACAUGCCCCUGCAGCCCACUCCAAAAGUUUAAAGGGUCGGAUGGAACAGCAGGUGGAAGACCAUCCGCAAAAUUGAAUUUUUUUUAAAUAAAAUAUAAUAAAUUGAUAUUUGUUAGUGUACAGCAGUCUUUUCUUUUG